CUGCUGCCUCCCGUAGGAGUCUGGUCCGUGCCUCAGUACCAGUGUGGGGGACCUUCCUCUCAGAACCCCUACGCAUCGUCGCCUCGGUGGGCCGUUACCCCGCCGACUAGCUAAUGCGACGCAUGGCCAUCCUAUGCCGGAGUCGCCUCCUUUGACCACCUGGAGAUGUCUCCAAAUGGUGUUAUGCGGUAUUAGACGGAAUUUCUUCCGCUUAUCCCCCUGCAUAGGGCAGGUUCCAUACGUGUUACUCACCCGUGCCGG
rnacentral:rRNA from 1 species